AUUGAACGCUGGCGGAAUGCUUUACACAUGCAAGUCGAGCGGCAGCACGGGGGCAACCCUGGUGGCGAGCGGCGAACGGGUGAGUAAUACAUCGGAACAUGCCCAGUCGUGGGGGAUAACACUUCGAAAGAAGUGCUAAUACCGCAUACGUCCUGAGGAGGAAAGCGGGGGAUCGCAAGACCUCGCGCGAUUGGAGUGGCCGAUGUCAGAUUAGCUAGUUGGUGGGGUAAAGGCCUACCAAGGCAACGAUCUGUAGCUGGUCUGAGAGGAUGAUCAGCCACACUGGGACUGAGACACGGCCCAGACUCCUACGGGAGGCAGCAGUGGGGAAUUUUGGACAAUGGGGGCAACCCUGAUCCAGCCAUUCCGCGUGAGUGAAGAAGGCCUUCGGGUUGUAAAGCUCUUUCGGCAGGAACGAAACGGUGAGCUCUAACAUAGCUUGCUAAUGACGGUACCUGAAGAAGAAGCACCGGCUAACUACGUG
rnacentral:rRNA from 1 species